ACUCUUAUUUUCUUUUUCUCGAGAAAAAACCCUAACCAUUGUACUGAUUCCCCAAAUGAAGCCUCACAGUUCCCCUCUCUUAUCGUCUUAGCGGCUAAGAUCCCUCUUCCGGCGAUCCUCCGGUCGCCGAUCCAACCGGUGUCACCACUUUCCCACAUCUUUCUCAUUUCCUCCAGUAUCAGUAAAUGGACCACUAUGACUUUCAAGCACAGAGAAGGGAG
rnacentral:misc_RNA from 1 species